rnacentral:rRNA from 2 species
GGGUUGUGAGGUUAAGCGACUAAGCGUACACGGUGGAUGCCCUGGCAGUCAGAGGCGAUGAAGGACGUGCUAAUCUGCGAUAAGCGCCGGUAAGGUGAUAUGAACCGUUAUAACCGGCGAUUUCCGAAUGGGGAAACCCAGUGUGAUUCGUCACACUAUCAUUAACUGAAUCCAUAGGUUAAUGAGGCGAACCGGGGGAACUGAAACAUCUAAGUACCCCGAGGAAAAGAAAUCAACCGAGAUUCCCCCAGUAGCGGCGAGCGAACGGGGAGGAGCCCAGAGCCUGAAUCAGCAUGUGUGUUAGUGGAAGCGUCUGGAAAGGUGCGCGAUACAGGGUGACAGCCCCGUACACAAAAGCGCAUGUGCUGUGAGCUCGAUGAGUAGGGCGGGACACGUGGUAUCCUGUCUGAAUAUGGGGGGACCAUCCUCCAAGGCUAAAUACUCCUGACUGACCGAUAGUGAACCAGUACCGUGAGGGAAAGGCGAAAAGAACCCCGGCGAGGGGAGUGAAAAAGAACCUGAAACCGUGUACGUACAAGCAGUGGGAGCACAGGUUUACCUGUGUGACUGCGUACCUUUUGUAUAAUGGGUCAGCGACUUAUAUUCUGUAGCAAGGUUAACCGUAUAGGGGAGCCGUAGGGAAACCGAGUCUUAACCGGGCGUUAAGUUGCAGGGUAUAGACCCGAAACCCGGUGAUCUAGCCAUGGGCAGGUUGAAGGUUGGGUAACACUAACUGGAGGACCGAACCGACUAAUGUUGAAAAAUUAGCGGAUGACCUGUGGCUGGGGGUGAAAGGCCAAUCAAACCGGGAGAUAGCUGGUUCUCCCCGAAAGCUAUUUAGGUAGCGCCUCGUGAAUUCAUCUCCGGGGGUAGAGCACUGUUUCGGCUAGGGGGCCAUCCCGGCUUACCAACCCGAUGCAAACUGCGAAUACCGGAGAAUGUUAUCACGGGAGACACACGGCGGGUGCUAACGUCCGUCGUGAAGAGGGAAACAACCCAGACCGCCAGCUAAGGUCCCAAAGUCAUGGUUAAGUGGGAAACGAUGUGGGAAGGCCCAGACAGCCAGGAUGUUGGCUUAGAAGCAGCCAUCAUUUAAAGAAAGCGUAAUAGCUCACUGGUCGAGUCGGCCUGCGCGGAAGAUGUAACGGGGCUAAACCAU